GGCCUUAUGGUCUAGUAGUAUGAUUCCUCCUUUGGGUGUCCACCUGACAGUGGCUUACGUACUCCAUGGAGGAGGUCUAGGGUUCAAUUCCCUAUGAGGCCC